rnacentral:lncRNA from 1 species
AUGAGCCAGAAUGGAUCGUUCCAUGUUUGUGAGAAUGGGUCCCUCCCAGCCAACAGCUCUGCCUCUGUCCCUGUGGGGGACCCUGGGCUGCAGUCCACGUGCGAAUAUGUAUGUAUCCCAGUGUGCAACCCCAACUGCAACUCAGGGGGCCCGCCCGUGUACGACUUUGUGUACCUCCCUGCAGGCCAUCCCUUAUGCAACUCCAUUUGCAACCCAGGCUUCAACCCAAACAUCAGUCUUGGUUUUGAUCCUGGAUGUGAUUCUGGCUUCCAUGUUUUAUGCGAGACUAUGCCUCCCCCUACCUAUGUCCCAAUGCCUCCCACCAGGUAUGGCUCUAUGCCUGUCCCAGCAUCCAACCCUGUGUGCACCCCAGUGCCUCAGGCGAUGUUUGAGUCAGGGUCUGGCUCCGCACACCAGCCCGGAGGGGGACCAAUGUCUUAUUCUGUGUCUGUCCCAACAAAUAACGCAGUGAAUGCUCUGCUGAAUCACUUUAUGGCUGGCUCCAGCCCCAGCUCAGCAUCCCACGCAGUCCCUACCCACGUGUCUGCUUCUCCAUCCCACCCCGUGUGCUCUCCAGUAUCUCACUCUGUGCCACAACCAACAGUCCUUUCUGGACCUGCUGCCUCCCUCUCCCAUGUGUGUGGCUCUGCACCCUCUCCAACAUCUCAGCCUGCCUGGGGCUCAAUGGCCACUCUACCAUCUCAACCCAUGAGUGGCCCAGUAGCCCACACCGUGUGCUCCCCAGGCCCUUGCCCAGGGGCUUCCCCAGUGCCCCUCGUUGCACGCAGCUCUACCCCAGUGCUGCACAUGGGCAAUGUCUCCAUGUCCCAUUCGGCAUGCACCCCAACCCCUCGCCCCAUGGGGCCCCCUGCAUCCCACUCGCUGUGCUCCCCGGCCUCCCUCUCCAUGGGAGCUGCAGCAGCAGGCUCUCCAACCUCGCGCCCGGAGGACGUGUCAGCAGGCUGCUUCAUGUGCCCCUCAACCUCACGUCCUUUGGGAACUGCAACAGCCCGGUCUGUGUGCACCCCGGCAUCCCGCCCUGCGUCGCGGGUCAUGUGCGCCCCGGCAUCCCGCUCCCUGUGCGGCCCACAGUGGGGUCCCUCAUGCAACACCGUUUCGCGCUCAGCCUUGCACUCCAACUGGGCUCCCGCCUCUYGGUCGGCAUGGGGCACCAUGGGGCGCUCUGCGUAUAACCCCCUGCCCCGCACCUUGUAUAGCACGCUCUCACGCCCUGGUUACAACACUCUGUCCCGCUCCUCCUAUAACAACACCUUGUCUCACUCUGCGUAUACCACCCUGCCCCGCUGUACCUCUCCGUCGGCUUAUGCCACCCUGCCCCGCUCGGGGUCCUGCUCUUUGUACAGCCCCCUGCCUCGCUCGGGAUCCCGUACAACGUGGAACCCGGGUAAGAACACUCUCACCUACUUUAAACGCAAAUAUGUGUAA